GACGAACGCUGGCGGCGUGCUUAACACAUGCCAGUCGAACGGUGAAGCGCCUUCCUUUUUGGUGGGUGUGGAUGAGUGGCGAACGGGUGAGUAACACGUGAGUAACCUGCCCCCUUCUUCUGGAUAACCGCAUGAAAGUGUGGCUAAUACGGGAUAUUCUGGGUCUGUCGCAUGAUGGGUCUGGGCAAGAUAUUGUUUCGGUGGGGGAUGGGCUCGCGGCCUAUCAGCUUGUUGGUGGGGUGAUGGCCUACCAAGGCGGUGACGGGUAGCCGGCCUGGGAGGGUGGACGGCCACGCUGGGACUGAGACACGGCCCAGACGCCUACGGGAGGCAGCAGGGGGGAAUAUUGCACAAUGGGCGCAAGCCUGAUGCAGCGACGCCGCGUGAGGGAUGGAGGCCUUCGGGUUGUGAACCUCUUUCGCCAGUGAAGCAGGCCUGCCUCGUUUGUGGGUGGGUUGACGGUAGCUGGAUAAGAAGCGCCGGCUAACUACGUG
rnacentral:rRNA from 1 species